GGACAACCUGCCUCUGACUUCUAUGAAUUGAACUGCACCGACUGCACUGGCUGCAGGAACUGAAUGGAACGGAAUGGAACUUUAUGGAACUGCAUGAAUUCCACUGUACUGAACUCCACUGCAUUGCCUGAACUGAAUUUUAGAGAACUUCUAAUCCAGCAGCAUGCUGCUCUGCUAUUCUGUGGAGACCUGCUCUUUUCUGAGAAAAAAAAUGCAGAAGUGGCUUUUGCCUAACAAGAAUGUUGGUGGAGAACCUGGAGUAAUGGAGGGAAAGGAACUGUGCCCAGAAUGUAAUACAUGAGAUACAUAUUCUUCUAAUAAAAUAAAAAAAUAAAUGAAGAGUUCCAGAUUCCAGACUCCUUCCUAAGCUCCUGACUUGGCCUCCUCCGAUGACGGCUUGCCUCCAAAGAGAUCUUGGCCCAAUAAACUCUGUCUAUUAAGCCAGAUACAUAAAGCAACACAUUAAGCAGUUUU
rnacentral:lncRNA from 1 species